AACCCGAAUAGUCCAAUGAGCUCAAAAGUUUUAUAAUCACUGAACUCAAAAGUAACAAACAAGUUGAGUCAGCUUAAAACCUAUAAGCCGAUUGAACUUUUGCCACAGUUAUAUGUUUAUUGGACUAAAACAUUUUGAGUAAAUGAAACCUUGGAGUCAAAACUUAUGAGUAAUGAGACGUGAUGACGUCGUAACGUACGCCCAUGAACGUGAACUCAGCCACAGAAGUCUUCAAGAUGGCGGAGGUCUGAUGCGAGUGUCAGCUGGCCCAAGUUGAUAACGCACAUACGUCUAGAUGUGAGCUGAGUUUCAUCGCAUCACAAAUGUCAACCUGCGAAAACCGUUUUAUUUUGACCUGGACAGACAGACGCAGAGGAUGCUGAUCUUGUUGAGAAAGAAGGCAGCACGAACCGGAAGGCUCUAUGCGACUUUCUGCACCUCUAUGAUAAACAGCAAGAGCAGACUGCUGAUGUCAAAGGUACUCCUGUCCUGUACUGGCUUCCCAUAUACAAACGUGAGGAGGACCCACAGUUCUUCAAAGUUUGGAAUGUAAGUACUUUAUGAUGGAUAUGCUGGUUAAUACUCCAGCUGUGUGGGUAAUACAACUUAACCAUAAAGUCAUGCCAAAGCAAUAUUAUGUGGCAGAGCACAUAGUCUCCUAAAAUAUUGCACUCCAGCUCAUCUGUGCUCCUGUACCUGACCGUGGACCUCGCCUCUGACUCGUCUUGGGCCCACAGCCGUCCCCUAUUUCAUCUGGAUGACGCCAAUCUGCUGGACUUAAAAAAUGCAGUUGUUGAGCUAGAAAAUGUAAUUCUUCUCAAAGAGUUCUGGUACAUCGCCUGUCCGUCCUGGGGAGGAGUUUUUUUUUAUUUUAUUUUUAUAAAGGAGUUUUUACUAACUGUGUAAAAGGGUCUAAUGGCAGGGAUGUGAUGUGUGUAAAUGUGAUCCUGUUUUCAGAUGUCAUAUUUUUUAUUGUACAGUGCCUUAUGGAAUCAUGAGGACUCUUACAAAUAGUCUUAUUUUGAUUCCAUUUGAUCUUGUAUUAUAUAAGCUCUGUUCUUCCAGAUCCUUUUCAAGCAAUAAAUCAAGCUCUACAUGACUUUAGUUAAAGAUCACUGUAUUGAAUUAAGCAAAUGUGAUUUAAUUGACGUUUUUGUUUUAUUUUCUGUCUUUUUAAUCAAUGCA